rnacentral:lncRNA from 1 species
AUCCACCUCUGCUCUUCCGCUCCCGUCCUGAUCUAAUUCCUGAGUAGUUCUUUCGACCUGGGAUGUGCGUGUGUGUACAUAUAUAUAGGUAGGGUAGUUCAAGAAGUUGAUGCUGCUGACAGCUAAUUUGGAUGUCCAAGUUUUGAUGUGAUGUGGUUUGGUGCUCGAUCCUAAGUCCUGCAAUGGCAAGGAUGCGCAN